GACAACGUGCCAGAGUGGUUAAUGGGUAUGACUCGAAAACCUCUGCUUGCAGAGUACAUAGAUAUCAUAUGGUUUCGGCCGCGUAGGUUCAAAUCCUGCCGUUGUCG
rnacentral:tRNA from 1 species